AGGAUCAUUACCGAGUGUAGGGUUCCUAGCGAGCCCAAUUCCUCCCACCCGUGUUUACUGUACCUUAGUUGCUUCGGCGGGCCCGCCAUUCAUGGCCGCCGGGGGCUCUCAGCCCCGGGCCCGCGCCCGCCGGAGACACCACGAACUCUGUCUGAUCUAGUGAAGUCUGAGUUGAUUGUAUCGCAAUCAGUUAAAACUUUCAACAAUGGAUCUCUUGGUUCCGGCAUCGAUGAAGAACGCAGCGAAAUGCGAUAACUACGUGUGAAUUGCAGAAUUCCGUGAAUCAUCGAGUCUUUGAACGCACAUUGCGCCCCCUGGUAUUCCGGGGGGCAUGCCUGUCCGAGCGUCAUUGCUGCCCAUCAAGCACGGCUUGUGUGUUGGGUCGUCGUCCCCUCUCCGGGGGGGACGGGCCCCAAAGGCAGCGGCGGCACCGCGUCCGAUCCUCGAGCGUAUGGGGCUUUGUCACCCGCUCUGUAGGCCCGGCCGGCGCUUGCCGAACGCAAAUCAAUCUUUUUCCAGGUUGACCUCGGAUCAGGUAGGGAUACCCGCUGAACUUAAGCAUAUCAAUAAGCGGAGGAAAAGAAACCAACCGGGAUUGCCUUGGUACGACUUUUACUUCCAAAAA
rnacentral:misc_RNA from 1 species